UACGUAGGGUACAAGCAUUAAUCGGAAUUAUUGGGCGUAAAGGGCGCGUAGGCGGAUAUAUAAGUCAGGUGUGAAAUACCAAAGCUCAACUUUGGUGCUGCAUUUGAAACUAUAAAUCUAGAGAAUUGACGGAGAAAGCGGAAUUCCACGUGUAGCGGUGAAAUGCGUAGAUACGUGGAGGAACACCAGUGGCGAAAGCGGCUUUCUAGUUUUUAUCUGACGCUGAGGCGCGAGAGCAAGGGGAGCAAACAGG
rnacentral:rRNA from 1 species